AACCUGCCCUUGACUCUGGGAUAAGCACUGGAAACGGUGUCUAAUACCGGAUACGAACUUCAGCCGCAUGGCUAGGAGUUGGAAAGAAUUUCGGUCGAGGAUGGACUCGCGGCCUAUCAGCUAGUUGGUGAGGUAAUGGCCCACCAAGGCGACGACGGGUAGCCGGCCUGAGAGGGUGACCGGCCACACCGGGACUGAGACACGGCCCAGACUCCUACGGGAGGCAGCAGUGGGGAAUAUUGCACAAUGGGCGCAAGCCUGAUGCAGCAACGCCGCGUGAGG
rnacentral:rRNA from 1 species